UCCAUUGCAGUUCGGCUGGGUGCCCAGUGAUGAUUUUUUGUGUCUAUCAACAUCAAACGAUCCCCCGAGCUGGAGUUGAAGGUCAUCGGCGGCAACGACGCCCCGUGCAAUUCAGAAAAUGUUUGUUUUGCUCCUGUCUUUUUUGCCUUCGGAUGCAGUUCUCCAUGCCCUCGUAUGCUGUCAAUGAUGAAGUGCUGUUGUUGACAGCUCUUUGUUGGUUUGGGUGCAGCUUGCAUGCAUCUAUGGAGUUCAAACAACGCACAAGCAUGCGAGUGUGGUUCCAAAGGAAUAGUCCACAUCGCUGACGACAGCACCACCACGACGUCAUGCGAUACGGUAGGUUGUGCCCUGCAGUUCGGCAAUCGUGUCAUGGGUUCACACGUGCGUCGGUGCUGCUCGGAGAUGCACGCCAUGCGGCUCGGUGUUUCGAGCACGCGAGCGCGUCUGACACAACUUGCCGACGACGACUACGCAUGAUUCUCAGGUCAUGGUCCAAUGCGAUGUUUUGCCGUUCGCCGGUACUCACUUCAGGUCAUGGUCCAGGUCGCCGCUCGACGCAGUCCACCAGCCACGAGAGGCCAACAAGGGUUGUGAAGCAGUUCUUUAGGCGCGCGCGUGCAGCCCAGGAAAUCCAGGAAUCCUGAUUGCUUUCAGUUCACUCAGUAAAAAAGAAAAAGUGGCGUGUGCAGCUCACUUUUAUCAAUUUUUGGUUUGUUGUAAGCGACCCCGAUUCGUUCCAUGUGUCUUCUUUGCAGAUCACUUCUUUGCUUUUUUUGCAGGCGACUCCGAUUCAUUCGAUGCUAGCUGCCUGGUCGGAGCUCCUCCACCGUUCACCUCCUCCUCUGCAUCCCAUGCAGUUCGCUCCGGUGGUUAACGAUGAUGCAUUGGCAGGGGGCGGAUGCAGUAUGGUAGGGCAGCGCAUGUAGUGCGGUAGCGCCGCACAUGCAGUGCGGUGCUCACGGCCGUGCGUGGCCGCUACGGUUGGCCGCGCGAGCCACUCCCUGGGACUUGAUUGCUUUCUUUCUUUUUUGGUCGAGGGAAGUUCCACAAAAUUUAGUUUGCGGCAGCAUGGUUCGGCUGUAACCCCCCAAGACCGAUGCUUCAGAAGUCUUCCAGCUAUCUUAUUGUCGCUGUGUGUUUUAUUUUUGUUUGUUGCUUUCAUCAUCGCAUCAUCCGCAUUGCAUCCGCAUGUUUUCUUAAAACUCUUAGUCCGUUCGUAGUUGCCGCGUCUCUCAGUUGUCUGUUUCGAGACCAACCGGGUUUUUCCCGUCCCUCUUGUCUAGCCG
rnacentral:lncRNA from 1 species